CAGCGAGCCUGGGUCCUGAUGGCAACGAUGCUGAGCUCCUUUGCCCCUUCACCAGCACUGGAGAAGCCAUUGCUGAAGUAAGGAGGAGAAAAGAGCUAGCUGCACUUUCAGGGAAGUUAAGAGAGAUGAGCAGUGUGCUGAAGGCAGACGUCUCUUCCCAGGUUUGUGUCAGAUCAUGGCAUGGAUGGCUACAAUGCUGUUUGCCAGCGCAAGAUCUUGACAGCAGCACAGCACGCAGAAUACGCAUCGUCCCGUGUGUACCCCCCCACUCAACUGGAGUGGACUGCAAACAGGAGGAAAGGGAAGAUGGUGCUGGAUGUUCAUACAUUUAAUGAGGAGAAGUUCUCAGCGGAGGUGGAGUCCUGGAUGACCGGGGAACAGUUUGCAGGAUGGAUGCUCAGUGCAAGGUACUGAGGACAG
rnacentral:lncRNA from 1 species